GACAAACUGCAAUAAGAUUUUCUUAAACGAAUACGAUAUGUCGUGAAACUGGAUGAAGCUUAUGGUCUUAUAUUCUCUUUUGACAAUGUUGUGACCAAACCAUUGAGAUAAUAACACUGCAUGUAACAUUCUUUCGAAGCAAUCCAUAUGUCGAUAUUGGUUUGAACUAAAAGAAACUAAGAAAGGAAUGAUGCACAGUCACAGUGAUAUAGAACGCUUACAUUGCAGCUUC